rnacentral:lncRNA from 1 species
CCCAACUCAGGGAAAGGCCCAAUCGCCCCAAAAGACUAGUCCAGUGGGGGAAGGGUGGCUCUCCUUUUAAAGUGGCUUCCUCCUCCCAAGUUAAGCGAGGUGGAAUAAUUCUGAGGCUCACACGGUCGUCGUCCGACUACAAUUGGGCCAACUGGGCCAAUUGCGUCUUUGCCAACGGGUAAUAGUGGAGGAUGUCCUCAUCAUUCCCACCUUCUUAAAAUGGGCCCUACCUUUGAUACCAGAUGAUACACCCAGCCCAGGUGGGGUUGGCCGAGGCCCAACAAAUUAGGGUUGCCCGGAGCCCAACAGUUCAUUAAGCACACCCAACUCAGGGAAAGGCCCAAUCGCCCCAAAAGACUAGUCCAAUGGGGGAAGGGUGGCUCUCCCUUUUAAAGUGGCUUCCUCCUCCCAAGUUAAGUGAGGUGGGAUAAUUCUGAGGCUCACACGGUCGUCGUCCGACUACAAUUGGGCCAACUGGGCCAAUUGCGUCUUUGCCAACGGGUAAUAGUGGAGGAUGUCCUCAUCAUC